CCUACGGGAGGCAGCAGUGGGGAAUAUUGCACAAUGGGGGAAACCCUGAUGCAGCGACGCCGCGUGAGUGAAGAAGUAUUUCGGUAUGUAAAGCUCUAUCAGCAGGGAAGAAAAUGACGGUACCUGAUUAAGCAGCCCCGGCUAACUACGUGCCAGCAGCCGCUGUCAUCCGUAGGGGGCACGCGUUAUCCGGAUGUACUGGGGGUAAAGGGAGCGUAGACGGCAGCACAAGUCUGGAGUGAAAUACCCGGGCUUAACCCCGGAACUGCUGUGGAAACUGUGCAGCUAGAGUGCAGGAGAGGUAAGUGGAAUGCCUAGUGUAGCGGUGAAAUGCGUAGAUAUUAGGAAGAACACCAGUGGCGAAGGCAGCUUUCUGGACUGCAACUGACGUUGAGGCACGAAAGCGCGGGGAGCAAACAGGAUUAGAUACCCGUGUAGUC
rnacentral:rRNA from 1 species